UGCCAGCAGCCGCGGUAAUACGGAGGGUCCAAGCGUUAUCCGGAAUCACUGGGCAUAAAGCGCGCGUAGGCGGUCCGCUAAGUUGGAUGUGAAAGCCCCCGGCCCAACCGGGGAACUGCGUUCAAUACUGGUGGACUUGAGAAUCAGAGAGGUAUGUGGAAUUCCUGGUGGAGCGGUGAAAUGCGUUGAUAUCAGGAGGAACACCGGAGGCGAAGGCGACAUACUGGCUGACUUCUGACGCUAAAGUGCGAAAGCAUGGGGAGCAAACCGGAUUAGAUA
rnacentral:rRNA from 1 species